rfam:Symbiodinium microadriaticum strain CCMP2467 Smic.scaffold363, whole genome shotgun sequence.
GUGCUGGCAAUGAAGAGUAUUUCGUUGCAUAGUUCACUCGGACGCGACGAUUGACGAUGCACUCAAUGUCUUUCGCUCCUAUCUGAGCCUUCAA